AACUUGGCCACAUCCUAACAGUCUUGGACAGCCUAAUUUCCUUGCCUCCUUCCUUCACAUCCAUUAACGAGAAAGGAUUCAGUGAGGUCCACCGUAGACGAGAAAGGAUUCAGUGAGGUCCACCGUAGACGAGAAAGGAUUCAGUGAGGCCCACCGUAGAAGAGAAAGGAUUCAGUGAGGUCCACCGCAGACGAGAAAGGAUUCAGUGAGGUCCACUGUAGACGAGAAAGGAUUCAGUGAGGUCCACCGUAGACGAGAAAGGAUUCAGUGAGGUCCACCGUAGACGAGAAAGGAUUCAGUGAGGUCCACCGUAGACGAGAAAGGAUUCAGUGAGGUCCACCGUAGACGAGAAAGGAUUCAGUGAGGUCCACCGUAGACGAGAAAGGAUUCAGUGAGGCCCACCGUAGACGAGAAAGGAUUCAGUGAGGUCCACCAUAGACGAGAAAGGAUUCAGUGAGGUCCACCGUAGACGAGAAAGGAUUCAGUGAGGUCCACCGUAGACGAGAAAGGAUUCAGUGAGGUCCACCAUAGACGAGAAAGGAUUCAGUGACGUCCACCGUAGACGAGAAAGGAUUCAGUGAGGUCCACCGUAGACGAGAAAGGAUUCAGUGAGGUCCACCGUAGACGAGAAAGGAUUCAGUGAGGUCCACCGUAGACGAGAAAGGAUUCAGUGAGGUCCACCGUAGACGAGAAAGGAUUCAGUGAGGUCCACCGUAGACGAGAAAGGAUUCGGUGAGGUCCACCGUAGAUGAGAAAGGAUUCAGUGAGGUCCACUGUAGACGUCGCCUCAUUGUAUCGGUCCCAUUGUGGCAUCAGUGAGCGCAUGGGCAGUGGCAUUGAGGCCAUCUCAAUUUUGAAGUAGUCCCAUUUUUCUUCUUCUACUACUUCUAUGAGUUGGUAAACAAACUGAAUGGGUGCGUACUGCCCCCUGGAGGGUGUUGUCGGAACAGGUAUAACGACAAGUUUGAUGAUUUACUGCCCUCUGCGUAGUUGACGGAAUGUUUACUCAAGAGUAUAAUUAAUUGGCUGAUCCUUCCCGAAGACAUGGAUGGAAUGUGAUCCUUCCCUCUUAAAUGUUAAAUUAAAGAUUCACCCAUUUUUAAUGUUAUAUAUUGUUUUUGUGCAUCUUUGAGCGAUGUUCUAUCGUUUCCCUGGGGGUCAUUUCAUGUUUAAUCUCUGAGCUAUUGCCAUAAAAGCAGGCAAAAAUCCAUCCAGUUUGACGUAGCGUAGUUAAUGGUAACACGAGUUUUAGAUCGCGAAAACUUCUUUCAUGUAUGUCUGAUUUCAAUACUGGUCGACGUCAACACGGGAGGUUGUCUUCUCAUUGAUCAUAUUUUAGCGAUAUUCCCACUUCUACAAAUGUGUAAUUUAACAGGAGGGUCCAACACAUCUCUCCUGUUUGCCUCUUCAGUCUAGGGGUGAGUUGCAGGUACUGUUGUUGAAUGUCAGACUCCACUCUGAGGAACAUCAAUCUGCAGUUUGAUUGUAGACUCCUAAAGUGAUCGUGCAGUUUGUUAAUAAGGUGAUUUUACUGCUAGCUAGCUACUUGACAUGCUGAUAUUGACGUUGGUAUUAUUGGGUGAAGCUACGCCUGCUUGCCAGCCCAUCGAGCGCAUUGCAUUGUGGGUUUUGUAGUCGAUUUGGGCGGCAACAGACAUCCACAACGAUUUUCAAGUUGCAAACCAACCUUAUUAUAGUGACAAAAUGUAACAUUUGUUCACAAAUGAAUAUUGUUCUCACAGUGUUAAUUAACACUGUGAAUUAUAGGACUGAGUAGUUAUUAGAUUUUUAUUUUAAGGGCACUUUAAACGGUUCUGGACUGGUUCAAUCAAGAUGUUUUGUGUCCUUGAGAUCUAUUGAGCAGUCGGUCGGAAAUCCUGGUCAUCAGCUACAUGUCAUUUUAAACGGCAUAUUAACACUCUAAAUAGGUCAGGUGCCAAACAGGAAGUAUAAGAAGGAACAAAAGUGAAUUAUUUCGGCUGUGUUAUUUGAAGGCUAUAGUCUACAAAGAAAUACAUUGUGAAGAAUUUGCGAGUGUGACACAAUAUGCUGGUAGGGACAUAAAAGCGUGCGGCAUUGAAACCUUUCGUUGUAUUAAAUCAUUAUAGUCAAAAAAAACAAACAACGCAUAUAGGCUGUGACUUACUUUAGAAUGAAAGAUAAAUUAAACGGAAAAAAUGCCUCGUUAGGCUCAGUCUACAGUGCCUUUUGGAUUCAUUUUUAAGAAACACGAGUCUGGGGCUUCGGGUUCAUGGGACGGUGCCUGGAGAGCCGUACAACACCGGAACAUGUCCUCUCUGUGCUGGCAGAGACACUGGGGACGCUAAACACCCGUUUGGCCACUCUUGGCAGACUGGCCAGAGAUGCAGAGAUGUUUUAAAAUAACCCAAUCAAAACAGAAAGCUCCUUGAAGGUGGGAAUAUGUCAGGCCUAUUGGGCCAAAAUCAAUGAUGGCCUUUUGUAUAGAUAAUAGAACAUUAAUGAAGGUAACUUUGAAUAGAUCAGAUUUUUUAGUUUAUAAAUACUUUGCUACAAUGACACACUUCGUUGCUAUCGUUUUCUACCCAUCUCGUUCCUUUCUGUUAGCAUGGGGACGUGGUAAGUACACCGUCAUGCUUCCAGGAUACGUGUCUUUUCAGAUUCCGCAGUGAUUCUUUAGUUGUGGACGUUACGUCACCGCACUCACCCUCUCUUGGUCCUCAUCUUUGUACGUCGCCUUUUGAUUUUGCACCUGUGUGUUCUAUCAGUUUCUGUUAUGAAACUAUUGAGUGAACUCCAUGGACAGUAGCUAAAGCAAGGGGCACACAAAUAGAUGACUUGAUGUGAGCGCUACUAGAAGGACUUCCGCUCCAUACUCUUGUCGUGUACAGAGCGCUCUGUGAACGGCGCGACAUCAAUUGCUGUACACUCGGUGACAGCUCCGGAUUGUCCUGCUUCACAUGCCAUUCUCCGCUCGCGUCUGAAAUGCAGUAUGUCAAAUCUGACACUUCCAUUUGCAUAGGGGAGCAAGACAUCACAUUUUCUGGCCUAUCCAGACCACGGAUCCCCUGGUUGUGAACCUUCCAGCUCUGCUGACAUUACGGCAUAUGAAAUGCGACUCUAGCGAUGACAGCAGACAGGCUCUUCUCACUAAUAUUAUCAUGCCGAAUGUAGAACUCUCGAUAUGAAACAAUACUAAAUUAGCUCGUAGAAUUUAAAUAAGAUCACUUUCUUCUUGGUCACAGAGGGACGAAUUCACCUGAUGCGUAAAGCUGAAGUUGUAAUGAGCCAGUAGACGUUUUGAAUAGGGUGUCUGCGCCUCAGAAGACGCUGGCCAGAAAAUGUCAUCAGUUAUAUGAAAUGGGUCCAAUUAUGUACUGUCACUAAGUAUGAUUAUAUUUCUUUUACAGUUAUAAAAAAAGGUGAAAUAUUAUAGUAAGUAGUUUAAUUUGAUUGUUAGUGUAUUUAGAAAGCAUGAAGAAGAGAUGUUUUGUGUGUCUGGGAGGGGUAUAUGUUAAAACGACCUGGUUUGAUGAUGAUGAAGAUGAAGAAGAGAUGUCUUGUGUGUCUGGGAGGGGUAUAUGUUAAAACGACCAGGUUUGAUGAUGAUGAAGAUGAUGAAGAGAUGUCUUGUGUGUCUGGGAGGGGUAUAUGUUAAAAUGACCAGGUUUGAUGAUGAAGAGAUGUAUUGUGUGUCUGGGAGGGGUAUAUGUUAAAAUGACCAGGUUUGAUGAUGAAGAGAUGUAUUGUGUGUCUGGGAGGGGUAUAUGUUAAAAUGACCAGGUUUGAUGAUGAAGAGAUGUAUUGUGUGUCUGGGAGGGGUAUAUGUUAAAAUGACCUGGUUUGAUGAUGAUGAUGAUGAAGAUAUCUGGGAGUGUUAUGGUUUGUAUCUGCAACAAUACAUCAAACAGUGAGAAUAAAAGAUGACAUCUUGA